GUGCUUGCUUCAGCAGCACAUACACUAAAAUUGGAAUGAUACAGAGAUUAACAUGGCCCUUGCACAAACAUGACAUGCAAAUUCUUCAAGCAUUCAUAUAUUUAU